rnacentral:rRNA from 1 species
GGGCCCGCACAAGCAGCGGAGCGUGUUGCUUAAUUCGAUGCAACGCGAAGAACCUUACCAGGGUUUGACAUCCUGCGAAUCUUUUGGAAACGAGAGAGUGCCUUCGGGAACGCAGUGACAGGUGGUGCAUGGCUGUCGUCAGCUCGUGUCGUGAGAUGUUGGGUUAAGUCCCGCAACGAGCGCAACCCACGUCUUUAGUUGCCAGCAUUUAGUUGGGCACUCUAGAGAGACUGCCGGUGAUAAACCGGAGGAAGGUGUGGAUGACGUCAAGUCAUCAUGCCCCUUACAUCCUGGGCUACACACGUACUACAAUGCUACGGACAAAGGGCUGCAAGUUCGCGAGGACAAGCAAAUCCCAUAAACCGUGGCUCAGUUCAGAUCGUAGGCUGCAACUCGCCUACGUGAAGGCGGAAUCGCUAGUAAUCGUGGAU